GGAUAGUGGACGUUACUCGCAGAAUAAGCACCGGCUAACUCUGUGCCAGCAGCCGCGGUAAUACAGAGGGUGCGAGCGUUAAUCGGAUUUACUGGGCGUAAAGCGUGCGUAGGCGGCUUCUUAAGUCGGAUGUGAAAUCCCUGAGCUUAACUUAGGAAUUGCAUUCGAUACUGGGAAGCUAGAGUAUGGGAGAGGAUGGUAGAAUUCCAGGUGUAGCGGUGAAAUGCGUAGAGAUCUGGAGGAAUACCGAUGGCGAAGGCAGCCAUCUGGCCUAAUACUGACGCUGAGGUACGAAAGCAUGGGGAGCAAACAGGAUUAGAUACCCUGGUAGUCCAUGCCGUAAACGAUGUCUACUAGCCGUUGGGGCCUUUGAGGCUUUAGUGGCGCAGCUAACGCGAUAAGUAGACCGCCUGGGGAGUACGGUCGCAAGACUAAAACUCAAAUGAAUUGACGGGGGCCCGCACAAGCGGUGGAGCAUGUGGUUUAAUUCGAUGCAACGCGAAGAACCUUACCUGGUCUUGACAUAGUAAGAACUUUCCAGAGAUGGAUUGGUGCCUUCGGGAACUUACAUACAGGUGCUGCAUGGCUGU
rnacentral:rRNA from 1 species